UAAUAUAUAUAUAAAAGUGUCAGACCUUCCGGAACAUUUUCAAAAGUUAAGUUGAAAAAGUUAAUUUUUUGUGAAAAAGUUGUCAUUUUAAAUCCCCCCUUGUGGGCAGGUUAAGGGUUAAAUUUAUGAAAAAAAUAUACCAAAUGAAAGGUAAUGAUAUUAUGCAUCUAUAUAAAAAAAAAAUUAUAUUGAUAUGUUCAUUUUUGAAAAAAUUAUGGCACUUUUAAGUAAAAAAAAUUGAAAAAAUUUCGAGAAUUAGCGAUUUUUAAAUUUGUAAUUUUUUUGGUGAUUUUCCCUCAUUUACGGGGAACGAGGGAAUUUUUUUCAAAUUUUGAGGGUAGUGUCUUCGACUAAAUAUGAUUUGUGAUCUUUUGAUGUAUCAUUGAAAGAAAUCAGUAUAGUGAGAGCUGAGAAAAAGUGGUAACAGAGACAAAAAAAAAAAAACACAUCUUAGUAAAACCAAUCGC